GGGCAUGCUAGCUGUAGAGCUUGCUAGUGGCUCGAGUGAGCUCACUAUACAGAGUGUGAGGCACUGUAAGUAGGUCUGUAACGGGUGAGUAACACGUGGGCAAUCUGCCCUUCACUCUGGGACAAGCCCUGGAAACGGGGUCUAAUACCGGAUACGACACUCUCGGGCAUCCGAUGAGUGUGGAAAGCUCCGGCGGUGAAGGAUGAGCCCGCGGCCUAUCAGCUUGUUGGUGAGGUAACGGCUCACCAAGGCGACGACGGGUAGCCGGCCUGAGAGGGCGACCGGCCACACUGGGACUGAGACACGGCCCAGACUCCUACGGGAGGCAGCAGUGGGGAAUAUUGCACAAUGGGCGAAAGCCUGAUGCAGCGACGCCGCGUGAGGGAUGACGGCCUUCGGGUUGUAAACCUCUUUCAGCAGGGAAGAAGCGAAAGUGACGGUACCUGCAGAAGAAGCGCCGGCUAACUACGUGCCAGCAGCCGCGGUAAUACGUAGGGCGCGAGCGUUGUCCGGAAUUAUUGGGCGUAAAGAGCUCGUAGGCGGUCUGUCGCGUCGGAUGUGAAAGCCCGGGGCUUAACCCCGGGUCUGCAUUCGAUACGGGCAGACUAGAGUGUGGUAGGGGAGAUCGGAAUUCCUGGUGUAGCGGUGAAAUGCGCAGAUAUCAGGAGGAACACCGGUGGCGAAGGCGGAUCUCUGGGCCAUUACUGACGCUGAGGAGCGAAAGCGUGGGGAGCGAACAGGAUUAGAUACCCUGGUAGUCCACGCCGUAAACGGUGGGAACUAGGUGUUGGCGACAUUCCACGUCGUCGGUGCCGCAGCUAACGCAUUAAGUUCCCCGCCUGGGGAGUACGGCCGCAAGGCUAAAACUCAAAGGAAUUGACGGGGGCCCGCACAAGCAUCGGAGCAUGUGGCUUUAAUUCGACGCGACCGCGGAGUACCUUACCCAGGCUUGACAUACACGGGAAACGGCCAGAGAUGGUCGCCCCCCUUGUGGUCGGGGGUACA
rnacentral:rRNA from 1 species